rnacentral:lncRNA from 1 species
CUCCAAUAGAUACAGACACACACACUGUUGCAGACGCGCGUGCACACACACCUAGAAAUAUUUUUAGCUACCCUCCUGUUUCCUACCUUGGGCGCAGGAGGGUGGCUUCCCUGGGAUCCAGUGGGUGUGAGUGGCAGCAGGUGACAGUAGGGCUUGCUGCAGCUGAUGGGAGUUGGCUGCCACUGGUCCAGACGCCUCCUGUCGCCAUCUCUGUGCACCAGAAGGAAGUAAAGGGAACUGUGAUUACUCCCUCCAAGAGCUGAGGCCUGGCAUGCAGCAAGCAGAGUCAUCUUUACCUGGUGCCCUGCCCAUCAGCCAUUCCCCUAUGCGGGUGGAAGUAAUAACAAUUCCGUUCACUUCCUCCCGGUAUACCGUCGCAGAAAGGAGGAGACCACCAAUCCCCAGCGCCAGGUCAAAAAUCCCAUUGUUUUCACAUGGACAGAAUCAGAAUAUGGAGCCACUGUGGAUAUGGGAAUUCUAAAGUAGAGCAGGUCUUGCAGAAUAUGGUUUUGUUUCUAUUAAAGGAACACUAUAGCUCUGGUGCCCCUCUUCCCCCCCCCCCCCAUGUCUCCCAUAAAGAGUGUCAAAAUAAAGCCUUUUCCGCCUCACUUCCCAAAUCAUCCUCAAGAAAGCUUUGCUGCUUCCAUUGCAGGUUCAAUCCAUUACUCCUCAGAGUAUUAGGGACCUGAUGUACCAGCAUGAGCGCAGCACACGCCCAAUUCUCAUAGGAACGCAGUGAGGUUAAUUCCUUCUUAUGAGUUGCAAUGUCACAUGACCAGAUUUGACUUGGUCCGUGCAGUGGAGGCGCCUCUGGCUUUAAUACAUUGUAGUUAAAGGAACACUUUAGUGUUUGGAUUACAAGGAUGUCUUCAAUGUAUUGUUUACAAAGAUGAAUUCAUAACACUGUAGUAUUCCUCUGCCUUCGUGCCCUCCCAGUGUUAAAAACAAAAGACCUUUCUUUCACUUUCCUGACUCCAGCGCCGAUAUCCCUCGGCGUUGGAUCACGUUCUUCCUCCGUUGUUGUCAGCUGAUGGGAGGAACCUAAUGUAAUGAAACUGCAAGAAGCGCCUCCAGUAACUGUCUGAUAGAAAGACACUAAAGACAGUUUCUCUAAAUGUUUUAAAUUACAGGGUUAACCCCUUUGCGCAUUAUGGCGUUCUAUGCCGUCUCCAAUGUAAUGGGCUUUAAAGCUGUAGCGACGGCAUAGAACGUCAUAACCGCUUUCAGCUCUGGAGUGUCUGGGAUAAUUACGCCCAGGCAGGCCCCUGCUAGUCAUGUGAUCGCUCUCACAAAGCAAUCACCUGAUGCUGAAAAAAUAAGUCCUAGAAAGAUAUAUAUAUGAAAAGACAGUCAAAUUCUAGGUUUUUAUUUGAUACGUACACAAUUGCCGCCGUCCUUAAGAGGUUAAGGAAACAGGGACACUGCAGCCAGACCACUUCAAUGAGAUGAAGUGGUCUGGGUGCCUAUAGUGUCCCUUUUACUAUGAAACUGCAAUGUUUUAAGUCGUAGGGUUAAAGUGACAGGACCAAUGCACCCAGACCACUUCAUUGACCUGGUCCUUUAAAGAAUGUUCUUUGUGUGUCUCUCUGACCAUUGUUGGUUUCGGGGUAUAACAUUCUGUAACUCACCCACAUUCUGAUGCAGAUUCUUUGCUUUACUGCAGCGGAUAUCUACGACAAGGUGGCGGGCGAAAUCGAGAAGAAUAAUGUGUACGACUGUGAAUGUCUUGGAGGAGGGAGAAUCAGUCAUUCGAGCAAGGACAAGAAAAUCCACAUCUACGGAUACUCUCUGGUGAAUAGCCAACUCGUCUUAAAUAUAAAUGGCUUUAUAUUCAAUAACUCACUGAGAUAGUAUCACAAGAAAUGUAUAACGGGCUUCACCUUUGUGCAUUUUGCUGCAGUGUGAAGCUCUGUAUUCUAGUGAAAGCAGUGAGCUGGGAGAAAGAAUGUGAAUUAAAACUGUAUUCUUAUUUAUUUAAAUUUUUUGGGUUUAGUAUUUUUUUGUAGAAUUCCCUUUGUGGUCAAUGACGGCAUCUAGAUAUUUGUAAACCUCUUCAACUUAAAGUUCACAUGUCCAUAAAUCACAUUCCAGUCACUAUAGAUUUAAUCUGUAUAUUGUCAGAAUAUGUAUGGAUUAAAGGGUGGUGCCAAGCACCAUAACAACUUUAGUUAUUUGAAGUGGUCAUGGUGCCUGAAGUCUGUAUGUACAGGGUUUUGUGGUAAAGUUUGCAGGUAGACUUUUGAGUCCCUUGCUGUUUAGUAAAUAGACCCCAUUCAGUAAAAACAAUUUAUAGAUCUACUUUAUUUGUACUAUAACAUGGGACUGUUCUGUUAAGACAAAAUCUCAUUUAAGGGCAUUGCAUUCUUGUCUUGCAGAGUUACGGACCAGCAGAUCACGCUUUGACUCAGAAAAAAAUCCAAGCCAAAUAUACGGAUUAUACAGUGACCUGGUCAGUUGUUUGAUAUUAAAUGUGCCAAACCACGAAAGCCGAUCUCUCAUUCAGAGGAACAAAAUUCACCUGGUGGCAAAUAUAACACAGGUCCUGUAUAUACAUCUUCUGGCCACAAGGGGCAGUGUGAUGUUAUAUAGACCGUAUCUUGGUAUGCAGGGAGUGUGAGCUGAUGGGUAUUGUGCCGUAGACUCAGAAUUAAGGUUUUCAUUUUGCUUUUGCCUUAUGUGAGACAUUUGAUUGAGGCUACUUAUACUGCCGUUAAUGGUGCUUCAGAGGCGCCCUGCUUCAGCAUUAAAUCACGUUUCCCAUGAUGCUUGUGGACUGCACUCACUUA